rnacentral:rRNA from 1 species
GACGAACGCUGGCGGCGUGCUUAACACAUGCAAGUCGAGCGAGGCCCUCCUUCGGGGGGUGCCCUAGCGGCGAACGGGUGAGUAACACGUGGGCAACCUGCCCUCAGCUCUGGGAUAACUCCAAGAAAUUGGUGCUAAUACCGGAUGUGACCGCUGACCGCAUGGUCUGGUGGUGGAAAGAUUUAUCGGCUGAGGAUGGGCCCGCGGCCUAUCAGCUUGUUGGUGGGGUCACGGCCCACCAAGGCGACGACGGGUAGCCGGCCUGAGAGGGUGACCGGCCACACUGGGACUGAGACACGGCCCAGACUCCUACGGGAGGCAGCAGUGGGGAAUAUUGCGCAAUGGGCGAAAGCCUGACGCAGCGACGCCGCGUGAGGGAUGACGGCCU